AGCAAAGACGAAUUCAAUAAGAAAAAGAAGAAGAAUCGAACAGCUGGGGGCGAAAUUGAAAGGUUUGUUUACAAAGUGCAUAAUAAAUCGCGGAUUUACGGAAUUAUUUAAUUUUAAAUGGUAAAUUGGUUGUUUAAAAGUAAAGAAUGUGUACUUCUUAAAUGCAAUGCAAAUCGCUGAAAGUGUUAAAACACUGCAAUCAUUAUAAUGAUUUGCAUUUUUUCAGUAAUUGAACAAAUACCAGCGGGUCAGUUGCUGGUAACAAUUUGCAGAACGAUUCCACGGUGAUCGUUGCAUCGUCGUCAAUUAGUGAAAUCACUACUUUUCCGGCAGCCGCAACAAACGCUGGCCCAAGCCUGCAAAUUGUUGCCAGCAACUGACCCGCUAGCUGCCCACUGGCAUUUGUUCAACUACUCAAAAAUGCACUUUGUAAACAAACCUUUUGGGUGUUGGCCACAUCAAGCGGCUCAUCUGGAUGAAAUGAAAAAGCUGUUAGAUGUAAUGCAGCAACGUGCUCCCGAUGUUGAACAUCAGUUCAAAGAAAAGUCAAAUGAGUUGGAAAUGGCGCAGCUUAUCAUACGCCAGUUGUCGGAUAAGGCCAAUGUAAACCAAGGCCGCAAUCGGAUAGAGACCUCGACGCAGACGCAAUUUAUGUACGAGUAACAGGUUAGAGACUUACAAGCUAUGGUGCAACAAUUGACGUAUGAAAGGAAUUUAUGAUGGUCACAAAUAUAUUGGCAAAAACAUAGCAAGUGCAUAUGCCAAGUUGGAAAAAUUGACAAUGCUGGCUAAAAAGAAGAGUCUUUUUGAUGAUCGACCGCAAUAGAUUCAAGAAUUGACUUACAUCAUGGUGUAUGCGUAGGGUGACCAUCCGUUCUGUUUUUUGCAGGACCGUACUGUUAUUUA